GGGGCUUACUAUUUUUAACAUUUUUAUUUUCUUUUCAAGAUGAUAUGAACUUGAUUAACUAAGCAAACUAUUUUAAAUAAUUGAAAGGAAAAAGGUAACUACCAAGUUUACGUCUUGGUAAGGCGUUCAGUGUUUUUGAGUCCUCCGAACGGGACUCUCCGUUUUCUCAAUCGUCCUGGGAUUUGCUGGGUGGCGUAGUCGGUGGUUCCGGCGGCGCCUCCUCUUCGUGUAUAACUAUCUUUUCUUUCUGACUCGAUGCUAUGGUCUCCUCAGGACAGUUCUGUUCAAGCUGUAUGUCUUCAGACCUUAUCACUUCUCCUUCGUAGUCUACCC
rnacentral:lncRNA from 1 species